CUGGUUUCCGGGAGCCGGGAGUGGAAGCCCACGCCUGUCUCGCGCGGUGUUUGUGAAGUCGGAAAACUCUUAGGUGGGCCCUGGAAAUCUCUGAUUCCUCGAGCAAAUUGGCUGGAGCGGCAGCUCAGGGCUCGGAGGCCAGCCUGAGGUCAGAGACUCGAGCUUCAGUCCUGGUCCCACCGUGGCAACUUAGGGCAAGUUCCUUGGCUUCUCUGAGCUUAGCUUUCCUCAACUGCAGCAGCAAGGCCCAGGAACUCCCCACCCUGGGUCCACCAUGCGGCUGGUGACUCUUUUCACUUAGCACAUCUUGCCAUCUGAAUCCUGUCGUUUCUCAGGAAUUUGCUGAUGCAGGAAUCUUCAUUUCUGAAACCUCCUCUCCCCAAGUCUGACCCACAACUUGUAUGGACAAAGGGACAUACCCAGGCUGCCUGAGAUGGCAAGGAGAGCCCUCUACUUUACUUCAGGCUAGGCUUGUCAUCUCAUAUUCCCAGUGUCCCUUCACACAUGCCCCCUCUCUCUCAUGAAAACAGACUGGAUCGGCUGGCAUGCAACACAAAAUCCAGAACUGUCUCCUGCUCCUUCGUCUUCUCCCCAGAAAGCAGGGGGUGCUAACAAGGGAACGUGAGUGCUAACAUGCUCUGGAGCCCUCCAACAUCUGGGAUGGAGAGUCAGGGCGAGGACCAUGCAGGGUGCUGAACUUGAAGCUGUCCUGCUAGCUCAAAGACUGUUGGGACCACAGAUUCAACUACCAGAAACACUGAGAGAGGCGCCCAGGGAGCUAUCCUAAAAGGGAGAUGACUAAGAUGACGACGUGAUGUACCCCACCAUAAGAACCUCUGGAAUGGUCUCUAUCUCGCCAGGAGCUCCCUCACUGUUGCCUGUUUUCACUACCAAGCCGGAGCUUCCUCUAGCCCACACCUCCUCCUUCUGUCUCUUCAGCAGGGAAACCCUAUCAUCUCCAGGUUUCUCUUCAUCACUCCUAUCCAGUUUUCACCCAUGGCAUCUGGGAUGGUUAAUCAGUGUCAACUGACUGAAUUUAGAAUCGCCAUGGAAACACAACUUGUGGGUGUAUCUGAAGAAGGAAGAUCCACCUUGAAUUGGGGAGCAGCCACCCAUGAAGUUCCACAUGCACCGGAAGUAGAAAGAUGGAGGAAGUAAGCUGAGCACGGCGAUCAUUCGCUCCUUCCUGAUGGCAGAUGCAAGGGGACCAGAAGCCUCACACUCCUGCCACCAUGCCUUCCCCGCCAGGACAGACUGUACCUUCAAACCGUGAACCAAAAUAAGCCCUUCCUCCCCUAAGUGGCUCUCCGCAGAUAUUUUAUUAUAGCAACAAGAUAAAAAACGAACACAGCUUCUCAUUAACCUCUUUUACUGCUGGGUUUCUGCUGUUGUUGCCGUUGGCUUUGUUUUCUCUC
rnacentral:lncRNA from 1 species